rnacentral:rRNA from 1 species
AUUGAACGCUGGCGGAAUGCUUUACACAUGCAAGUCGAACGGUAGAGGGGGCAACCCCUCGAGAGUGGCGAACGGGUGUGUAAUAUAUCGGAACGUGCCCAGUCGUGGGGGAUAACGUAGCGAAAGUUACGCUAAUACCGCAUACGAUCUAAGGAUGAAAGCGGGGGAUCGCAAGACCUCGCGCGAUUGGAGCGGCCGAUAUCAGAUUAGGUAGUUGGUGGGGUAAAGGCUCACCAAGCCAACGAUCUGUAGCUGGUCUGAGAGGACGACCAGCCACACUGGAACUGAGACACGGUCCAGACUCCUACGGGAGGCAGCAGUGGUGAAUUUUGGACAAUGGACGCAAGUCUGAUCCAGCCAUUCCGCGUGCAGGAUGAAGGCCCUCGGGUUGUAAACUGCUUUUGUACGGAACGAAAAGGUCUCUCUUAAUACGGGGGACUCAUGACGGUACCGUAAGAAUAAGCACCGGCUAACUACGUGCCAGCAGCCGCCGCAG